GACGAACGCUGGCGGCGUGCUUAACACAUGCAAGUCGAACGGAAAGGCCCUGCUUUUGUGGGGUGCUCGAGUGGCGAACGGGUGAGUAACACGUGAGUAACCUGCCCUUGACUUUGGGAUAACUUCAGGAAACUGGGGCUAAUACCGGAUAGGAGCUCCUGCUGCAUGGUGGGGGUUGGAAAGUUUCGGCGGUUGGGGAUGGACUCGCGGCUUAUCAGCUUGUUGGUGGGGUAGUGGCUUACCAAGGCUUAGACGGGUAGCCGGCCCGAGAGGGUGACCGGCCACAUUGGGACUGAGAUACGGCCCAGACUCCUACGGGAGGCAGCAGUGGGGAAUAUUGCACAAUGGGCGGAAGCCUGAUGCAGCAACGCCGCGUGCGGGAUGACGGCCUUCGGGUUGUAAACCGCUUUCGCCUGUGACGAAGCGUGAGUGACGGUAAUGGGUAAAGAAGCACCGGCUAACUACGUG
rnacentral:rRNA from 1 species